UUAAUAAUUUUAAAUCUAUCCUCAGACGACACUAUUAAGAAGAGUUUUGGAAGGCUAUUGGCAGGCACGGGCUAGGGAUCGAUGAUCCCCCACGGCCCACAAGGGGCGGGCCAGCCAAAGCAACAUGGUAUUUUAGCCACAAGGGUUGGAGAUGGGGCCUAGAAGACCCUUCCUCGAUAAUGAUCCUUCCGCAGGUUCACCUACGGAAA
rnacentral:misc_RNA from 1 species